AUAUUGGACAAUGGAGGGAACUCUGACGCAGCGACGCCGCGUGAGCGAUGAAGGUCUUNGGAUCGNANAGCUCUGUCCUUGGGGANACAGGUCUUCGGACUUGACGGUACCUAUGGAGGAAGCCCCGGAUACCUACGUGCCAGCAGCCGCGGUAAUACGUAGGGGGCGAGCGUUGUCCGGAAUUACUGGGCGUAAAGGGUACGUAGGCGGCUAUAUAAGUCAGGUGUGAAAUACCAGUGCUUAACACUGGAAUUGCAUUUGAAACUGGAGAGCUUGAGUAUCGGAGAGGGUAGUGGAAUUCCUGGAGUAGCGGUGAAAUGCGUAGAUAUCAGGAGGAACACCAGUGGCGAAGGCGACUACCUGGACGAAAACUGACGCUGAGGCACGAAAGCUAGGGGAGCAAACA
rnacentral:rRNA from 1 species